rnacentral:rRNA from 1 species
AGAGUUUGAUUAUGGCUCAGAACGAACGCUGGUGGCGUGUCUUAUACAUGCAAGUCGAGCGAGGCAGCAAUGCCGAGCGGCGAACGGGUGAGUAACGCGUAAGCAAUCUGCCCCAUAUCAGGAAAUAUCCGUGCCAACGCGCGGUUAAUGUCCAGGAGAGUGGCCCCUUGCAUGAGGGGUUGACUAGAGAUUUAUCGGUAUGGGAUGAGCUUGCGUCCGAUUAGCUAGUUGGCGGGCAACGGCCCACCAAGGCGACGAUCGGUAGCCGGCCUGAGAGGGUGAUCGGCCACAUUGGGACUGAGAUACGGCCCAGACUCCUACGGGAGGCAGCAGUAGGGAAUAUUGCACAAUGGGGGAAACCCUGAUGCAGCAACGCCAACGUGUGGGAAGAAGCAUUUCGGUGUGUAAACCACUGUCAUGAGGGAAUAAGGCCCGCCUUCGGGCGGGAUUGAAUGUACCUUGAGAGGAAGCACCGGCAAACUUCGUGCCAGCCGCCGC